CAUCUCCUCCCCUUUGGCCCAAACGACAUUCUCUGAGCACAAGUUGACCGUUAAGCCUCCUCCUCCCCCUUCGAUUGGGCACACUUUCUUUGGAAGAUGGAAGCAUCGACAUUACAGAAAAACUCUAUCAAGAUUCUCAUACACAAAUCUUUGCCCAAAAGGAUCCUUCGGACCCUUGAUUAACACCCCAAUCUGAUCAGUGGCCG
rnacentral:lncRNA from 1 species